UGCUGCUGAUGGUGGUGAUGAUGGUGGUGGUGAUGAUGAUGCGACAAUUGUAGCAGGUGACGACUAUGACCGAGUAUACUAGGGCCUCCGCUGCUACCGAUGUGUAGAUCGUGCGGCCCAUCAUCUUCCUCUUCCUCUUCGUCGUCAUCAUCAUCGUCGUCAUCAUUG
rnacentral:pre_miRNA from 1 species